rnacentral:rRNA from 1 species
AUACGGAGGGUGCGAUCGUUAAUCGGAAUUACUGGGCGUAAAGCGUACGUAGGCGGUUGGUUAAGUUAGAUGUGAAAGCCCCGGGCUUAACCUGGGAACUGCAUUUAAAACUGGCGAACUAGAGUUGAGUAGAGGGGAGUGGAAUUUCAGGUGUAGCGGUGAAAUGCGUAGAGAUCUGAAGGAACACCAGUGGCGAAGGCGACUCCCUGGACUCGAACUGACGCUGAGGUACGAAAGCGUGGGUAGCAAACGGGAUUAGAUACCCCUGUAGUCC